UAGGGAAUCUUUCACAAUGGGCGAAAGCCUGAUGGAGCAACGCCGCGUGCAGGAUGAAGGCCUUCGGGUUAUAAACUGCUUUUAUAAGCGAGAAAUAUGAUGGUAACUUAUGAAUAAGGAUCGGCUAACUACGUGCC
rnacentral:rRNA from 1 species